CAAUAAAUCUGAAUUACAAAUAAUUGUUUUUGUAAUUGAUUUAAUAUUAAAAAGACAAAGUUAAUAAACAGAAAAAAAAAUCGAGAGAGGUACAACUCCAGUUUUUACCCUAAUUUUUUUUUCACGUUACACGUCUUUCAGCCAAAGCUUCUCAACUCCAUCAAUGGCGAUCUAUAGUUUUUGGAGAAUCUCCGUUCUUCAUCGAUGUUUAUCCACUUUUUAGACUCUAAUCUCGGUUUCUUCAUCCUCUUCUUCGUUCUCACACGAAUCAACGAAAUCGAAGUGUUCUGCCUCUACUGGUAUCGUCGGACGGUUCAUUUACCUCUAUGUAUUCAUCAAUUUCAUCUAACGUUUAUUUACACUCGAGUAUCAAUUUAGUAUUUCUUUUCAAAGGGGGAAAAUUGGGGUAAUCAAUGCAAGAGAUUGAUAAUACCAAGGAACUAAAACAUGUCUGAUUCGGGUUAUUGGCUAUUUUCACGAUCUCUUAGGGAAAGAUUCCACUGAUAGGCUGUGGUGGUGUUAGAAGUGGUAAGGAUGCUUACAAGAAGAUAAGAACCGGGGCUACUCUUGUUCAGCUGUACAUUGGGUUUGCGUAUGGUGGACCUGCUCUCAUCCCACAAUCAAGAAGAUAAGAGCCAGGGACCUACUCUUGUUCAACUGUGAUUAAGCUUGGUGAUUUCGGGAUUGCGAGUACCAAAUCCCAUACAGACUUCAUGACUUGUUACACUUUGGUACAGAGCUCCAGAGUUGCUCCUUAAUUGCUCGGAGUAAACAUCAUCAAUUGAUAUCUGGUCUGUUGGUUGUAUUCUCGGUGAAACAAUGACAAGAGCUCUUGGUUCUGGUUAAGAACUCUGUUUCUCUUACAGUGAGUCUUGAGGAUUUAAGCUUGGGGUUCUUAAGGAGUGACAACGCAAGGAGAUACGUUAGACAGCUUCUGCAGUACCCCCUUAGACAAAGUCAAGUUCAAUCCUCUAGACUCACAGCAAGAGAGAGAGAGAGAGAGAGAGAGAGAGAUUUCUUAAAAAAUAAACUCAUCACAAUGCUUGUUUUAUCUUGCUCUGUUUUCCUUAUAGAAUCUCUGAUAAGUUAUGAUUAUGGGGCUGUUUGUUUAACCAUUUGUCAUCUCCAUCCAAAUGAU